rnacentral:rRNA from 1 species
UACGUAGGGUGCAAGCGUUGUCCGGAAUUAUUGGGCGUAAAGAGCUCGUAGGCGGUCUGUCGCGUCUGCUGUGAAAACUCAGGGCUUAACCCUGAGCUUGCAGUGGGUACGGGCAGACUAGAGUGCGGUAGGGGAGACUGGAAUUCCUGGUGUAGCGGUGAAAUGCGCAGAUAUCAGGAGGAACACCGGUGGGCGAAGGCGGGUCUCUGGGCCGUA